AAAGCACCCCGAGAGGGGAGUGAAAGAGAUCCUGAAACCAUAUGCUUACAAGAAGGUAGAGUCCGUUAAUGGGUGAUACCGUGCUUUUUGUAGAAAGAGCCGGCGAGUUACUAUUGCAUGCGAGGUUAAGUCGAUAUAGAUGGAGCCGUAGUGAAAGCGAGCCUUAAUAGGGCGUUUAGUAUGCAGUAGUAGACACGAAACCGGGUGAUCUAGCCAUGAGCAGGUUGAAGUUAGGGUAAAACCUAAUGGAGGACCGAACCAGUAUUCGUUGAAAAGACUUUGGAUGACUUGUGGCUAGCGGUGAAAUUCCAAUCGAACCCGGAGAUAGCUAGUUCUCCCCGAUAUAUCUUUAAGGAUAGCGUUAUGUGAAUUGUUGUGGAGGUAGAGCACUGAAUCUAUGAUGGCUGCACCUAGCGGUACUGAUUAGAAUUAAACUCCGAAUGCCAUAACUUGUGCAUAGCAGUCAGAACAUGGGUGAUAAGGUCCAUGCUCGUGAGGGAAACAGCCCAGAUCGUCAGCUAAGGUCCCUAAGUGUAAACUAAGUGUGUAAGGAUGUGGAACUGCACAGACAGCUAGGAUGUUGGCUUAGAAGCAGCCAUCAUUUAAAGAGUGCGUAACAGCUCACUAGUCGAGUGAUUCUGCGCCGAAAAUGUACCGGGGCUUAAGUUUACCACCGAAGCUACGGAUUGUACGCAAGUACAGUGGUAGGGGAGCGUUCCAAGGGUGAUGAAGUCAGACCGUAAGGACUGGUGGAGCGCUUGGAAGUGAUUAUGCCGGCAUGAGUAACGUUUGGAAGUGAGAAUCUUCCAUGCCGUUUGACCAAGGUUUCCUGGGCAAGGUUCGUCCACCCAGGGUUAGUCAGGACCUAAGGCGAGGCCGACAGGCGUAGUCGAUGGACAACAGGUUGAUAUUCCUGUACCAGUUAAUUAGUGAUGGAGUGACGGAGAAGGAUAGUAUAUCCCGGGUGCUGGUUGUCCCGGGCUAAGCACAAAGACGGCAACAUUGGCAAAUCCGUGUUGUAUUAACGUUGAAGUGUGAUGGGGAGUGAACGGUUCGCCUAGUAACGAAGUAUAUGACUCCACGCUUCCAAGAAAAGCUUCUAACAUUAAUAAUUAACUGCCUGUACCUAGAACGAACACACGUGGUCAAGGAGAAAAUCCUAAGGCAAGCGAGACAACUGUAGCUAAGGAACUCUGCAAAAUAACUCCGUAACUUCGGAAGAAGGAGUGCUCAUCUUUGAUGAGCCGCAGUGAAGAGGGAGGGGCAACUGUUUAACAAAAACACAGCUCUCUGCUAAGUCGCAAGACGAUGUAUAGGGGGUGACACCUGCCCAGUGCCGGAAGGUUAAGAGGAGAAGUCAGCACAAGCGAAGCUUUGAAUUGAAGCCCCGGUGAACGGCGGCCGUAACAAUAACGGUCCUAAGGUAGCGAAAUUCCUUGUCAGGUAAAUUCUGACCCGCACGAAAGGUGUAAUGAUCCCUUCGCUGUCUCGGCUGCAGACUCGGUGAAAUUUUAGUACCGGUGAAGAUGCCGGUUACCCGCAACUAGACGGGGAGACCCCGUGGAGCUUUACUAUAACUUGAUAUUGAAAUUUGGUGUAACGUGUAGAGGAUAGGUGGGAGACUAUGAGACCAGGACGCCAGUACUGGUGGAGUCAACCUUGGAAUACCACCCUCGUUACAUUGGGUUUCUAACUUCGACCCGUUAUCCGGG
rnacentral:rRNA from 1 species